AAAUUGAAGAGUUUGAUCAUGGCUCAGAUUGAACGCUGGCGGCAGGCCUAACACAUGCAAGUCGAACGGUAA
rnacentral:rRNA from 10 species